UGGGGAAUUUUGGACAAUGGGCGAAAGCCUGAUCCAGCAAUGCCGCGUGUGUGAAGAAGGCCUUCGGGUUGUAAAGCACUUUUGUCCGGAAAGAAAUCCUUGGCUCUAAUGCAGUCGGGGGAUGACGGUACCGGAAGAAUAAGCACCGGCUAACUACGUGCCAGCAGCCGCGGUAAUACGUAGGGUGCAAGCGUUAAUCGGAAUUACUGGGCGUAAAGCGUGCGCAGGCGGUUUGCUAAGACCGAUGUGAAAUCCCCGGGCUCAACCUGGGAACUGCAUUGGUGACUGGCAGGCUAGAGUAUGGCAGAGGGGGGUUAGAAUUCCACGUGUAGCAGUGAAAUGCGUAGAGAUGUGGAGGAAUACCGAUGGCGAAGGCAGCCCCCUGGGCCAAUACUGACGCUCAUGCACGAAAGGCGUGGGGGAGCAAACAGGAUUAGAUACCCCUGGUAGUCCACGCCCUAAACGAUGUCAACUAGUUGUUGGGGAUUCAUUUCCUUAGUAACGUAGCUAACGCGUGAAGUUGACCGCCUGGGGAGUACGGUCGCAAGAUUAAAACUUAAAUGAAUUGACGGGGUCAUAGCU
rnacentral:rRNA from 1 species